UGGGGAAUAUUGCACAAUGGGCGCAAGCCUGAUGCAGCCAUGCCGCGUGUAUGAAGAAGGCCUUCGGGUUGUAAAGUACUUUCAGCGAGGAGGAAGGCGUUGUGGUUAAUAACCGCAACGAUUGACGUUACUCGCAGAAGAAGCACCGGCUAACUCCGUGCCAGCAGCCGCGGUAAUACGGAGGGUGCAAGCGUUAAUCGGAAUUACUGGGCGUAAAGCGCACGCAGGCGGUCUGUCAAGUCGGAUGUGAAAUCCCCGGGCUCAACCUGGGAACUGCAUCCGAAACUGGCAGGCUAGAGUCUUGUAGAGGGGGGUAGAAUUCCAGGUGUAGCGGUGAAAUGCGUAGAGAUCUGGAGGAAUACCGGUGGCGAAGGCGGCCCCCUGGACAAAGACUGACGCUCAGGUGCGAACGCGUGGGGAGCAAACA
rnacentral:rRNA from 1 species